UGGGGAAUAUUGCACAAUGGGCGCAAGCCUGAUGCAGCCAUGCCGCGUGUGUGAAGAAGGCCUUCGGGUUGUAAAGCACUUUCAGCGAGGAGGAAGGUGGUGAGCUUAAUACGCUCAUCAAUUGACGUUACUCGCAGAAGAAGCACCGGCUAACUCCGUGCCAGCAGCCGCGGUAAUACGGAGGGUGCAAGCGUUAAUCGGAAUUACUGGGCGUAAAGCGCACGCAGGCGGUUUGUUAAGUCAGAUGUGAAAUCCCCGGGCUCAACCUGGGAACUGCAUUUGAAACUGGCAAGCUAGAGUCUCGUAGAGGGGGGUAGAAUUCCAGGUGUAGCGGUGAAAUGCGUAGAGAUCUGGAGGAAUACCGGUGGCGAAGGCGGCCCCCUGGACGAAGACUGACGCUCAGGUGCGAAAGCGUGGGGCAGCAAACAGGAUUAGAUACCCUGGUAGUCCAGCGCUGUAAACGAUGUCGAUUUUGGAGGUUGUGCCCUUGAGGCGUGGCUUCCGGAGCUAACGCGUUAAUCGACCGCCUGGGGAGUACGGCCG
rnacentral:rRNA from 1 species